CAGUGACUCAGUCCAGGGGCAAUCCACCUCCUCAGGAGCAGCCCAGGCUGAUGAAUCAGGUCCAUCUCUAUCUUCUGCUACAUCCACUGUACCCACUGUCCUCUCUGCAACCUCAGCUGUACCUGGUCCUUCAUCUUUGGUCAUCGAGAAUGAUCUUCUUCAGCAUCCAGUUUGCAGCAGGGAUCAGCAGCUCCGC